GGAAGCGUGGCAGAGUGGUUGAAUGCACCGGUCUUGAAAACCGGCGUGGGUGCGAGCCCAUCGUGAGUUCGAAUCUCACCGCUUCCGCCA
rnacentral:tRNA from 1 species